rnacentral:tRNA from 1 species
GGGUCCGUGGGGUAGCUUGGUAUCCUUCUAGCUUUGGGAGCUAGUGACCUGAGUUCGAAUCUCAGCGGACCCA